rnacentral:rRNA from 1 species
UACGUAGGGUGCGAGCGUUAAUCGGAAUUACUGGGCGUAAAGCGUGCGUAGGCGGUUCGCUGUGUCCGAUGUGAAAGCCCCGGGCUUAACCUGGGAAUGGCAUUGGAAACUGGCGGGCUUGAGUGUGGCAGAGGGGGGUGGAAUUCCGCGUGUAGCAGUGAAAUGCGUAGAUAUCAGGAGGAAUACCGAUGGCGAAGGCAGGUCUCUGGGCUAUAACUGACGCUCAUGCACGAAAGCGUGGGGAGCAAACAGG